GAAAGGGAAACUGGUUAAUAUUCCAGUACCUUCUUGCACCAAACGUCGACGCUUUAGGAAACACCGAGCGGGGCCUUCGCCCCGUCGAAUCACCGAAAUUCGUGGAAGCCGUAACGGCACGAAGCGAACGAAUGGUGAGACAGGGAAACUCGGCGGUACCUAGAGCCCGUGAAAAGACAAGCAAGAAGCUCGUACCGAGAUCCGACACAGGUGCGCUGGCAGAGCAAGCCAAGGCCUGUCGGGAUCAACCGACGUUAGGGAAUUCGGCAAGUUAGUCCCGUAAGUUCGCGAUAAGGGAUGCCUGCUCUUGACCGAGCAGGUCGCAGUGACUCGGACGCUCCGACUGUCUAGUAACAACAUAGGUGACCGCAAAUCCGCAAGGACUCGUACGGUCACUGAAUCCUGCCCAGUGCGGGUAUCUGAACACCUAGUACAAUAGGACGAAGGACCCGUCAACGGCGGGGGUAACUAUGACCCUCUUAAGGUAGCGUAGUACCUUGCCGCUUCAGUAGCGGCUUGCAUGAAUGGAUCAACGAGAGCGUCACUGUCCCAACGUUGGGCCCGGUGAACUGUACGUUCCAGUGCGGAGUCUGGAGACCCCCAAGGGGAAGCGAAGACCCUAUAGAGCUUUACUGCAGGCUGUCGCUGAGACGUGGUCGCUAAUGUGCAGCAUAGGUAGGAGCCGUUACACAGGUACCCGCGCCAGCGGGCCACCGAGGCAACAUUGAAAUACUACCCGUUAGUGACUGCGACUCUCACUCCUGGCGGAGGACACCGGUAGCCGGGCAGUUUGACUGGGGCGGUACGCGCUCGAAAAGAUAUCGAGCGCGCCCAAAGAUUUCCUCACGCGAGUCGGGAACUCGUGGAAGAGCGCAAGAGCAAACGGAAGUCUGACAGUGACAUUCCCAACGAGUGUCGCUGACGCGAAAGCGUGGUCUAGCGAACCUACGAGGUUCAUUCAUGGGACCCGUAGAUGACAGAAAAGCUACCUUAGGGAUAACAGAGUCGUCACCGGCAAGAGCACAUAUCGACCCGGUGGCUUGCUACCUCGAUGUCGGUUCCCUCCAUCCUGCCUGUGCAGAAGCAGGCAAGGGUGAGGUUGUUCGCCUAUUAAAGGAGGUCGUGAGCUGGGUUUAGACCGUCGUGAGACAGGUCGGCUGCUAUCUAUUGGGGGUGUUAAGGAACUUGACGUGAACGUUCGUAUAGUACGAGAGGAACUACGAAUGGGUGCCACUGGUGUACCGGUUGUCCGAGAGGGCAGAUGCCGGGCAGCUACGCACCACGGGGUAAGAGCUGAACGCAUCUAAGCUCGAAACCCACACGGAAAAGAAGUUCCACUGAGGNAGGGCAGAUGCCGGGCAGCUACGCACCACGGGGUAAGAGCUGAACGCAUCUAAGCUCGAAACCCACACGGAAAAGAAGUUCCACUGAGGUCACU
rnacentral:rRNA from 1 species